UCCUGUAAUAUAACCGGCCGUCUCUAGAGCAAGUGGCAAAAAAUUUGAUGGUUGGUAUCCGAGAUUUCAAGUUUGAAUUCUAGUUGAUUCAUAUUUUCAGCUAAAUUUAUUUUUAAAUAAAAUAAACGAAGCAGGUAGCGUGCUACCUAUCUCUAAAAAAAAAAAAUUCUGUAAUAUAAGUACCAACCACCAAGCCCUUUGCCACUUACUCUAGAGACGCUUGGUAACAUGCAGGAAUUGAUACCCCUGACCUCUAAGUUAUCCCCUUGUAUAUAUACAGUAGCUGGCGCACUAAUUAUAUAUAAAGUUUCUAUAUAGAUUAUAAAUAUAUGUAUAGAGUUCGGCUACAAUACUAUUGAUAGUACCAAACACUUGGUAUUAUUAAGUUUUCUACCGUUAGAUCAAUCCCUUUGAUCAUUUUUAUCCCUCAUAUCAUAUUAUUUAACCAACCAUCUACUCAAUUCUAGAAGACCGCUAUCAUUUUAACCGUAUAUCGCUUCAUCCAAGGACCGAAAACUUAAUAGUACUAAUGACUUGGUGCUAAUAGUAUUCUAGCCUAAUUCUAUAUGUAUAAUAUUUGAUCUCUGGUUCAAACUGUUUAAUAAUUUUUUCGGUCAAAAUAUUAAGUCACCUUCAAUCUUCAAUU
rnacentral:lncRNA from 1 species